rnacentral:rRNA from 1 species
CGUGCAGGCGGCCUGGUAAGUCGGGCGUGAAAUCUCUCGGCUCAACCGGGAGGGGUCGUCCGAAACUACUAGGCUUGAGGGCAGUAGAGGGAGGUGGAAUUCCCGGUGUAGUGGUGAAAUGCGUAGAGAUCGGGAGGAACACCAGUGGCGAAGGCGGCCUCCUAGGCUGUCCCUGACGCUCAGACGCGAAAGCUAGGGGAGCAAACGGGAUUAGAAACCCCGGUAGUCCUAGCUGUAAACGAUGCAGACUAGGUGUUGGCAGCUUAAACCCUGCCAGUGCCGUAGCCAACGCGUGAAGUCUGCCGCCUGGGGACUACGGCCGCAAGGCUAAA